AUCCAGCCGAAGAGUCCCAAACAGGACGAAAUGCGCGUCAUGGAU
rnacentral:hammerhead_ribozyme from 1 species